GACGAAGGAUGCAAGCGUUAUCCGGAUUCAUUGGGUUUAAAGGGAGCGUAGGUGGCCUUAUAAGUCAGUGGUGAAAUCUCUCGGCUUAACCGAGAAAUUGCCAUUGAUACUGUAGGGCUUGAGUACAGAUGCCGUUGGCGGAAUAUGACAUGUAGUGGUGAAAUACAUAGAGAUGUCAUAGAACACCGAUUGCGAAGGCAGCUGACGAAACUGUAACUGACACUGAGGCUCGAAAGUGCGGGGAUCAAACAGG
rnacentral:rRNA from 1 species